GGCGAACGGGUGAGUAAUGUAUCGCUAAUGUGCCCCGGACACUGGGAUAGCCAGCCGAAAGGCUGGGUAAUACCAGAUAACAGGACCUGAUCGCAUGAUCGGGUUCUCAAAGGUCCGCCGGUCUGGGAGCAGGCGAUAUCGUAUCAGCUAGUUGGUGAGGUAACGGCUCACCAAGGCGACGACGCGUAGCCGGACUGAGAGGUUGGCCGGCCACAUUGGGACUGAGACACUGCCCAGACUCCUACGGGGGGCUGCAGUAACGAAUCUUCCGCAAUGCACGAAAGUGUGACGGAGCGACGCCGCGUGUGGGACGAAGCCCUUCGGGGUGUAAACCACUGUCAGGGGUUAGAAAGUUCUGAUCAACCCCAGAGGAAGGCACGGCUAACUCUGUGCCAGCAGCCGCGGUAAGACAGAGGUGCCAAGCGUUAGGCGGAAUCACUGGGCUUAAAGCGUGUGUAGGCGGAUUCCUAAGUACCUUGUGAAAUCCCACGGCUCAACCGUGGAACUGCUGGGUAUACUGGGUGUCUUGAGCCACUUAGGGGCUACUGGAACAAAUGGUGGAGCGGUGAAAUGCGUAGAUAUCAUUUGGAACGCCAAUGGUGAAAACAGGUAGCUGGGAGUGAGCUGACGCUGAGACACGAAAGCCAGGGGAGCGAACGGGAUUAGAUACCCCGGUAGUCCUGGCCGUAAACGAUGUCGACUAGAUCGUGGGCGGUUUGACCCGCUCGCGGUCGAAGCAAAAGUGCUAAGUCGACCGCCUGGGAAGUACGGUCGCAAGGCUAAAACUCAAAGGAAUUGACGGGGGCUCACAC
rnacentral:rRNA from 1 species